GGGAACGAUAACGGCGUCGAGCGGCGGACGGGUGAGUAAUGCCUAGGAAAUUGCCCUGAUGUGGGGGAUAACCAUUGGAAACGAUGGCUAAUACCGCAUAAUGCCUACGGGCCAAAGAGGGGGACCUUCGGGCCUCUCGCGUCAGGAUAUGCCUAGGUGGGAUUAGCUAGUUGGUGAGGUAAGGGCUCACCAAGGCGACGAUCCCUAGCUGGUCUGAGAGGAUGAUCAGCCACACUGGAACUGAGACACGGUCCAGACUCCUACGGGAGGCAGCAGUGGGGAAUAUUGCACAAUGGGCGCAAGCCUGAUGCAGCCAUGCCGCGUGUGUGAAGAAGGCCUUCGGGUUGUAAAGCACUUUCAGUCGUGAGGAAGGUAGUGUAGUUAAUAGCUGCAUUAUUUGACGUUAGCGACAGAAGAAGCACCGGCUAACUCCGUGCCAGCAGCCGCGGUAAUACGGAGGGUGCGAGCGUUAAUCGGAAUUACUGGGCGUAAAGCGCAU
rnacentral:rRNA from 1 species